rnacentral:rRNA from 1 species
UACGAAGGGGGCUAGCGUUGUUCGGAUUUACUGGGCGUAAAGCGCACGUAGGCGGAUUGUUAAGUCAGGGGUGAAAUCCUGGAGCUCAACUCCAGAACUGCCUUUGAUACUGGCAAUCUUGAGUCCGGAAGAGGUGGGUGGAACUCCUAGUGUAGAGGUGGAAUUCGUAGAUAUUAGGAAGAACACCAGUGGCGAAGGCGGCUCACUGGUCCGGUACUGACGCUGAGGUGCGAAAGCGUGGGGAGCAAACAGGG